rnacentral:rRNA from 1 species
GAUGAACGCUGGCGGCGUGCCUAAUACAUGCAAGUCGAGCGAACAGAUAAGGAGCUUGCUCCUUUGACGUUAGCGGCGGACGGGUGAGUAACACGUGGAUAACCUACCUAUAAGACUGGGAUAACUUCGGGAAACCGGAGCUAAUACCGGAUAACAUAUUGAACCGCAUGGUUCAAUAGUGAAAGGCGGCUUUGCUGUCACUUAUAGAUGGAUCCACGCCGUAUUAGCUAGUUGGUAAGGUAACGGCUUACCAAGGCAACGAUACGUAGCCGACCUGAGAGGGUGAUCGGCCACACUGGAACUGAGACACGGUCCAGACUCCUACGGGAGGCAGCAGUAGGGAAUCUUCCGCAAUGGGCGAAAGCCUGACGGAGCAACGCCGCGUGAGUGAUGAAGGUCUUCGGAUCGUAAAACUCUGUUAUCAGGGAAGAACAAAUGUGUAAGUAACUGUGCACAUCUUGACGGUACCUGAUCAGAAAGCCACGGCUAACUACGUG